CUGGAAGCUCAGGUACAGGGCGGCGAGACACACACAAAGCUGCAGUGUGAUUUUCCCUGCAGGAUAUCUCGGCCUAGCUGUGGCCAGGGCCUGGUGCCAAUGACCUCUCAGGGCUUUGGAUGCACCAGGUCAAACCAGCCAACCACUUGCCUCCAAUCAGGAAUGCACGCCCCAUCCCAGGCAGAGAGACAAGGGAGUUCCACAAUUUCUUCCUUGAUGAAUGAUUCCUAUCUACCACAAUUUUCAUUCAAUGCAUCAAAUCAACCAAUGAUUAUUUAAAAACAGCAGCUACAAAAACUCUGCAAAGCGGGUGGGAAUUUCCUGCUUGGGUCUAGUCUCCGUGUUUCCCGCGCACAGCCUGGUCUUUACCCUGGGUGCUUCCGAACCGGCAUCAUCUGGCAUCUCCGACAGUCUUGAUGCGACUUAACGCGUGGUAAGAACCCAUCAGAGAAGGCCACAGGGAUUUCCAGAGACAGGUAGAGGCACUGCACUGGGCAGCACCAGGGAGGAAUAUGAUCUUUUCAAGCAGCUGGACUCUGACCUAGAAGCUGGAACUCCUGAGUACUGAGGUCAGCACCUCUCUCACACACCCCCAGCUAUAAGCUUGAAGGAAACCCCUCCCCUUCUCUGGGCCUUGAUUUCCCCUCCUGCUCAAUGGGGACGUUCUUGGUCCUCCUUCUUGCCCACUCUACCAAGUCGCCGAGUCUGGCGAAGCAGAGCUGUCUGGGGGUCACCGCAGCAGGAGGGACCGAGCUUAGAUACGAAAAAAGACUUCUACAUGGCAAGAGCCACAGAAAGGACGCUCCAGCUGGCUCAGGAGAGGGGCCUCUCUCCCUUUCAAGAACAAAAGGUGGCAGAUACCCGGGGGCCCUGGGGCAGAACGAGGUAAAUUCUGCAAGGACUUCCACAUCUAAGACCCCAGAAAUCUCCAGCCGGCUCCCUCCGACCGUGAGACCAUCGUGGAGAGCAGGGUCAUAAAGAAC
rnacentral:lncRNA from 1 species